rnacentral:misc_RNA from 1 species
GAUGAAGAACGUAGCGAAAUGCGAUAAGUAAUGUGAAUUGCAGAAUUCAGUGAAUCAUCGAAUCUUUGAACGCACAUUGCGCCCUUUGGUAUUCCGAAGGGCAUGCCUGUUCGAGCGUCAUUACAACCCUCAAGCUCUGCUUGGUAUUGGGCACCGUCCUUUGCGGGCGCGCCUCAAAGACCUCGGCGGUGGCGUCUUGCCUCAAGCGUAGUAGAACAUACAUCUCGCUUCGGAGCGCAGGGCGUCGCCCGCCGGACGAACCUUCUGAACUUUUCUCAAGGUUGACCUCGGAUCAGGUAGGGAUACCCGCUGAACUUAAGCAUAUCAAUAUGCGGAGGA